CCGUCUGUCUCUUUGUCUGCUAGUCAGCUUGUCUAUUUGUGUGCUGGUCAGUCCGUCUGUUUAUGUAUCUGCUAGUUGCCGCCUGCUCGUCUGCUAGUCAGCUUGUCUGUCUCUCCGUCUGUCUGUCAGUCUAUCUGCCAGUCUGACUGUCUGUCGAUCACGCCUGCUAUUUCUCCCUUCAUGUUACCCUCCCAGGUACUGCUAAGGUACAGGAGUAGGACCCAUCUUAGCUAUGAUGGUUUAUGAUUUCCCAACUUAUAUCACCGUGACCGGAAACCUGACACCUGCUGGAAGUGCGGCCUCACCUUCUCGUCUAUAGACAGAAGAAACGCCACUCCAAGCCGACACGUCCGCCAUGACUCAGCCAGCAGCUAAAAUAUGACUUCUCCCGGUUAAGGAGAGACGGCUGAGAUUGGAUUUAGAUGGAAAUGGAGCUGCCGGAUACUUUCCACGGUAAUAUGCGUCUCCACGCCGAGUGGAUCUGGCCGAAUGCAGUUCACAGACGGAUAACUUUCCGGAACAAUUUUGUGCUGUGUGAGAAAAGUGGAAGGGAGUUGUUGAACAACUUCCUCGAAGACUGAGACAAUGUAGGGCAGGAAUAAAGGAAUUUAUUACGGCUAUAACCCCAGGAGGAUUUUUACACGAUGACAACUCACGAGCUAACUCCCAAGCAUAGAGAAGUGAGCUUCUGUCGCUUGUAGCGUGGACCCCACCUCCUCCCGCGCUCGCUCUGCCCUUCAACCCAGCAUGACACCCCUGACCGCUCCGAGAGCCCAUUCUUCAGUCCAAAGCGCAGGAACAAAUGUCUCGCAAUUGUUCAAAUCAUGCUAUAAUCGCCGCCCGCAGAGAAGAGCAUUGGAGUCCAGAAUCCAAGGUCCAGAGUCCAGUGGGCUACAUUAUCCAGUGUGUGAUUUCCUCUCCCUUUCAUCCCAACCUCCUGUCAAAGUCGGUUCAGUCCUCUCGCUAUGCACAAAAGCCCAUACAAAUAUACACAGAAAAAAAAAAGCAUAGAGAACAUUCUACAAUUGACUUUAGACGAUUUCCUUGUGUCACGACGCACUUACUGCUACAAUGCACUGGCCGGCCGCUAAUUUGAAAAUAACCUACUAACCUAUUGUUCUGGUUCUGCCUCUAGGUGGGUUUCAGCUCCUUUGUACUCCUGUGUUUUAUGGGAACUUGCUUGUGCAGCACUUACAUUGUACUUGCUCCAAUUCUGAUUCUGGCUUUGAUUGUUCUCAGCGUCAUCUGCUCGUGGCUUUAGAUAAAAGAUUCAGCCUAAUGACUAUGAAUUUUAUUGAAGUAGGACAAAACAAAUCUUCAGUCCACUGUGUGUGUGUGUGUGUGUGUGUGUGUGUGUGUGUGUGUGUGUGUGUGUGUGUGUGUGUGUGUGUGUGUGUGUGUGUGUGUGUGUGUGUGUGUGUGUGUGUGUGUGUGUGUGUGUGUGUGUUGGUGUGUUUGU